UAUUGGACAAUGGGCGCAAGCCUGAUCCAGCAAUGCCGCGUGAGUGGUGAAGGCCUUAGGGUCGUAAAGCUCUUUUACCAGGGAUGAUAAUGACAGUACCCGGAGAAUAAGCUCCGGCUAACUCCGUGCCAGCAGCCGCGGUAAUACGGAGGGAGCUAGCGUUGUUCGGAAUUACUGGGCGUAAAGCGUACGUAGGCGGUUAUCCAAGUCAGAGGUGAAAGCCCGGGGCUCAACCCCGGAACUGCCUUUAAACUAGGUAGCUAGAAUCUUGAGAGGUCAGUGAAUUCCGAGUGAGAGGUAAAUUCGAAAUUCGAAGACACCAGUGGCGAGGCGCUGCUGGCAGGUUAGCGUGGUCAAAUAG
rnacentral:rRNA from 1 species